rnacentral:rRNA from 1 species
ACUUUACACUGCGGGAAACCGCGAUAAGGGAACACCGAGUGCCAGCAUCCUAUGUUGGCUGUCCACAUGUGUAAAUAACAUGUGUUAGCAAGGGCCGGGCAAGACCGGUGCCAGCCGCCGCGGUAACACCGGCGGCCCGAGUGGUGGCCACUAUUAUUGGGUCUAAAGGGUCCGUAGCCGGUUUGGUCAGUCUUCCGGGAAAUCUGACGGCUUAACCGUUAGGCUUCCGGGGGAUACUGCCAGACUUGGGACCGGGAGAGGUAAGAGGUACUACGGGGGUAGGAGUGAAAUCUUGUAAUCCCUGUGGGACCACCAGUGGCGAAGGCGUCUUACCAGAACGGGUCCGACGGUGAGGGACGAAAGCUGGGGGCACGAACCGGAUUAGAUACCCGGGUAGUCCCAGCCGUAAACUAUGCUCGCUAGGUGUCAGGGACGGUGCGACCGUUUCUGGUGCCGCAGGGAAGCCGUGAAGCGAGCCACCUGGGAAGUACGGUCGCAAGGCUGAAACUUAA